rnacentral:rRNA from 1 species
CUACGGGAUGCAGCAGUGGGGAAUAUUGGACAAUGGGGGAAACCCUGAUCCAGCAAUGCCGCGUGUGUGAAGAAGGCCUGCGGGUUGUAAAGCACUUUCGGUUGGGAGGACUGCUUCUAGCACUAAUAUUGUUGGAAAUUGACGUUACCUUCAGAAGAAGCACCGGCUAACUCCGUGCCAGCAGCCGCGGUAAUACGGAGGGUGCAGCGUUAAUCGGAAUUACUGGGCGUAAGGCGCGCGUAGGCGGCUAGAUCAGUCGGGUGUGAAAGCCCCGGGCUUAACCUGGGAACUGCAUCCGAUACUGUCUAGCUUGAGUACAGGAGAGGAGAGUGGAAUUCCACAUGUAGCGGUGAAAUGCGUAGAUAUGUGGAGGAACACCAAUGGCGAAGGCAGCUCUCUGGCCUGAUACUGACGCUGAGGUGCGAAAGCGUGGGGAGCAAACAGGAUUAGAUACCCCCGUAGUC